UACGUAGGGGGCGAGCGUUGUCCGGAAUUAUUGGGCGUAAAGAGCGUGUAGGCGGUUCGGUAAGUCUGCCGUGAAAACCUGGGGCUCAACCCCGGGCGUGCGGUGGAUACUGCCGGGCUAGAGGGUGGUAGAGGCGAGUGGAAUUCCCGGUGUAGCGGUGAAAUGCGCAGAUAUCGGGAGGAACACCAGUGGCGAAGGCGGCUCACUGGCUCGGUACUGACGCUGAGGUGCGAAAGCGUGGGGAGCAAACAGG
rnacentral:rRNA from 1 species